rnacentral:rRNA from 1 species
GAUGAACGCUGGCGGCGUGCCUAAUACAUGCAAGUCGAGCGAACAGACGAGGAGCUUGCUCCUCUGACGUUAGCGGCGGACGGGUGAGUAACACGUGGAUAACCCACCUAUAAGACUGGGAUAACUUCGGGAAACCGGUGCUAAUACCGGAUAAUAUAUUCAACCGCAUGGUUCAAUAGUGAAAGACGGUUUUGCUGUCACUUAUAGAUGGACCCGCGCCGCAUUAGCUAGUGGGUAAGGUAACGGCUUACCAAGGCAACGAUGCGUAGCCGACCUGAGAGGGUGAUCGGCCACACUGGAACUGAGACACGGUCCAGACUCCUACGGGAGGCAGCAGUGGGGAAUCUUCCGCAAUGGGCGAAAGCCUGACGGAGCAACGCCGCGUGAGUGAUGAAGGUCUUCGGAUCGUAAAACUCUGUUAUUAGGGAAGAACAAAUGUGUAAGUAACCAUGCACGUCUUGACGGUACCUAAUGAGAAAGCCACGGCUAACUACGU